UUAAGGCUCCCAGUAGACGACUGGGUUGAUAGGCCGGAUCUGGAAGCCCAGUAAUGGGUGGAGGUGACCGGUACUAAUAGGCCGAGGGCUUGUCCAU
rnacentral:rRNA from 1 species